UGUAUUUUCCAAUUAUCUUUGAAAUCUUUUGUAAUCAAGAAAAAAAAUUCUCAAAAUAAAGGGAAAUGGGCCAUGAAAUAGGCCAUGACUUGAAGGGAAGAAACCUGUAGAGAUGAUAUGUAAGCCAUGGAGCAUUUAUUCCUUCCAUACUUCAGGGGAUAUUUUUUUCUUUCCUGAACACUGAGAUGGCCAGUCUUUCCAUCUCUUACCAUAAAAUGCCUGACAGCUUAGAUUUCAAAGCUUUUCUUUAAAGCUCAGAUCUUCUCUCAGUAAAACCUAUAUUCCUCCAUGCCUAGGCAAUAAAUGGCCACAAGAAUCUACUAGGUAUUUGGAAACAAUCAUUUCUCUUUUCUUUAUAUUGACUGGAUUAACUUUUGCCAAGAGACAAAUGAUCUGCCUGGAUCACUCAGUUCCUUAUUCUUUGAUUUAAUUAGGGAUUAGAUGGUAAUAGACUGGAAAUAAAUUCUCUUUUCACUGACCUAAAUUAACUUGGCUUUUGAAAUAUGGCAUAGUCUCAACAAUUAUCUGAAAGGAAAAAAUACAUAUAUAAUAACCCAUUACAUGCAGGAAACUGUACCAAUCCAACCACUUAAACAUGUCUCAUUAACACCAUCUGUAAUAAAUACUCCCAACUCUUUGAGUAAUGGAAGCCAUUUCUGUCCAUACGAUAUAGGAAUAAGGAAAGGUGGUGGGAAGGAAUUCCCUUCCCAACAAGUAUUUUUGAGUAGGAAUCUAUUUUUGUAGCAAGAUCAUUUGUUGGCCAAGUCUUGUUUCUUGUUUGACAGACCUACUUCCCACCAUGUGCCUCUGUCCUCUGCAGUAUAGCUUCCACACAGUGAUGGGAUUUCUCUCCCUAAAACCCUCCAUUUAGUAUAUUCAUCUCUCCUCACAACUUACAUUUUUAUAGAAAAUUGUGGUUUGCAAAGGCUUUCACACAAAAGAUGUUGUGUGAUCUUAACAAAAACUCUAGAAGACAAGAAUUUUACAGAUGAAGAAACUAAGUUCAGAGAGAUUGUUACUUGUCCAGAUACUCCUGCUAGUAAGAAGUGGUUAUCACAUGAAAACUUCUUUUCUAACAUGUGAUUGAUUGAGUGUUUCAUCUGUCAAUAAUCCUGAUAAUACCAAUUUGUCUUGAUGUUGAGUUUUAAGACAUUUUUCUCAUCCAUAUGCAUUUAACCACUUCCACACUGCCUCUCGAUAAUGAUUAGUGUGUAUGCUGUGUACCCUAAUCUCAAAUUCAUUUUAAUGAAAAUCAUUCUUGGAGGAUGGCACAAAGGACAUUACCUAGAACAAGCCAGCAUGUAGACAUUCAACCCAUCAAAGCCGUCUGGGUAAGAUGUACUUCAUUCACCAGAACUGUUGGAUAACCUAGGGAGCUUAAGGUACCUGAUCUUAUCUCCAGACAUAGCCUUUGCUCUCCCAGACCUUUUUUCUUUUCUGAGUUCUGACUCUGGUAUGGCCCUUACUGACAUAGUUGGUAUGAUCUCCUGCAGCAGGUAACUUGCUAUCCUGUAACAUGCUAUUUUUAGAUUUGUAAUAAUCUCCCCACACCCCACUCACUUACUCCAUGUUUUGCCCACAUCCUACUACAUGCACACAUACACACAAAGACAUGCCCUAGACUAUAUAGUUGCCCUGAGAGGAGAUACGGGUCUUACUCUUCUUACUGUAUCUUCCUAUUGCCAAUAGAUGCCUAAAAUUUUUUGCUAUGUUAAAUUGAUCACUAUAUUUUUAAAUUAGAGUGUCUACUAGAAAGUACAGCUAUGCAAUUAUAAUUGUAUAUUUUAUGACCCACUCUUUCCCCUACCUGCCUCUAUUUCCUUUUUCUUACACCACAAAUUCUUUCAUUUAUUUUAAUACCUUUCAGCAAAUAACUUUAUAUUUUAUUUCAUGGGAUGGUGAUCAUAAGGCCUCUAACUUAUUUCAGCCUAAGACUCUAACAUUUGAAUUAGCCUGGGAAAAGUUUGGGAAAUCACUAUUUAUUCUAUGCUUCUCAUUCAAUUUCUCUAGGCAAAAUAUCCUCUACUCUUUAAAAAGUGUAUUCACUUCUAAAUGAGGAUACAAAUUUCAUUUUUCGAGGUCAAACUAGCCCAAUUCAAUAUUCUUUGUUGUUGUGCUCAAUUAUAAAAUGGAAAGAUUGGAAGAAAAUACAAUUUUAUUAUAUAACAUAAUAACAUGAGCUAGGCUAAAAAUAUUGUUUACCAUGUCCUGAUCAUGUUUUCAAGAUUUUUUUUAAACAGCUUGACAAUAUUUAAUUUUGUUAGUAGAACGCGUGGUCUGGAUUAUUUCUUUUUUGAAAUGUGGAUGGAUCUGGUAACUAAGGCAUCUUAGAAGAGAAUACUGGCCUUUCCAUCUUUGGUCACAAAAGGAGAGCUUAAACAGAAAUGCUGAGAAGGCAAGUAUAGCAGAGAAUGUGAAGAAAUCCCCGCCAUGGUACCCACAGCAGAUGUUUUCAAAGUUUGGGGAUGGUGAAGGACCCAGGGGACGGUGCCAAGGAGCAGCACGAGGUGCCGUGUGAUAAAUGGAGCUGUCUCUUUCCCAUUACAGGAACAUAGCAAGUUUCAAGAGCAAAUCAGAAACCUAGAAUGAUUAAUUGUGUAGUCUACAACGAGUCCUGUUGUGUUUGUCUAUGAAUCCCUUUGCUCUGAAGAUCAGACACACCAGGUGCAGAGAAACACCUGGCUAUGAUGAACCCUGUGAGUUUCUUAGUAACCCAUUCCAAAAAAAGGGGGAACAGUGGUUUUGUUUACAGGUGAACAGUAGGAAGGGGAUCAAAGCUGGUGAGAAAACUGAAAUGGUGGAGUAAGAACAAAAGCAUCCCUUUAACAUCAAGCCAAGAGCUGUCAUAUCUCUGGCUUAGCUUCCUCUUUCUCUAUACCUGCUUGGCAUCAAUGAGGAACAAAGUAUUUUAAGGAAGUCAUAGCUUCGUUCUUACUUAUUGCCACCCACCGAUUCCACUGUCACCUCGCAGUCACCUUUGCAUGUGACCUAAGGCAGUUUCAGCUAAGCGUUAGCAGUGAAGAGCAUAGCCAUUGAGCACACCGGUUUCUGGGCCCAAACCCCACAUUUUACUACCCAUGUGACACGGCACAAAUUAUCGAAAGUCUCUGUGCCUCACCAUCUGCCCAAAUAUGAUAUAACGUUAAUAAUACCCACCUAGGAAUUCUUAUCUAAGUAAAGUACACAUGAAUGUAAGAUGCCUGAAACAAUCAGUAAAUAGUAGCUAUUGUUGUUAAACAAGAUGGCCAGGGAGAUUACUGUUAUUUUUCUUUAAAGUGUAACCAGCACGUUAACAAUACUGUUUGCAUACUAAAUGAGUGUCUCAAUUACACAUAGUUAUUGACCCUUCCUUAAAGCUGAUGAGGUACACUAAUAUUUAGUUAGCUAAUUUUGUUGAACUGUAGAGGCAGCAUGGCUUGGUGGAAAGAUCUAGAUUCAAAUGCCAGCUCUAUUGUUCACUAAUUGCAAGCCUUAAAAAAAAAGAAAGGGGUUUAAUCUCUCGAUGCCUCAUCUGUUCUUUAAAAAGUGAGAAGAAAAAUACUUCAUUUUCAGGGUGGUAGUAAGAACUAAAUGAGAGAAUGCAAAUGCCUAGUGCAUAAUAGGUGUCUGUAAUAAAGGAUCGUUGACAAGACAGCACACAUUUACCUUACAGCAAUAAAAGUGCUCUCCAUUUUUAAUACCCUUUAAUUGUUUUCAUGAAUUCAUAGCAGCAUUCCUCCAAAUUAGUCUGAAUUUGUUAUGUUUUGUCAUGUGGUUUAAUUCCAAGUACAGCUAAAUGACAAGUGACCACGUCAGAAUGGUGCUGGGGGAGGGUAUCAUCUAAAACAGAUUAACGUGGAUGCAGCUCUUUUAAAAAUAUCUAGGGGGGAAAACUCUAAAAUGUCUCUUGAACACACCUCAAGCUGUUAGAGAGAGGAAGCUUUUACGUUUAUCUUUUCUAAGGGUAAACGAUUGGGUUUAGAUUAAUUGAAAACAAGGAGGGGAAAAAAUGCACAGAUCUAUGUAAAACAGACAGUGUCUAUGACAAGUGUUUCCAAAUACGUGGUUUCCAAAUAUGUAAUUGGUACAUUACAUAUCUCUGGCUUCUCUGAUUUCUAAAAAGCCAUGAAAGUUAAAUUAGGUUGAUUUAUUUCCAAAAGUGGUCAUUUGGAUUAUGUACCGAUAAUGGGACAUCAGUAUCCCUGAAAGCAAAAGAUUUAAAAUACAUAAAUAUAUUUUUAUGGCCCGCCGUGCCUAUUUCUAAAAUACUCUAAAUGUGAUACUGCCUUAGGCUGGCUUCCUUGGAAGGAGACACUGGGACAACAAUUCAUGUGCACGUGUGUGUUCUUAAGGAAGGGCUCCCCAUGGGCACCUAUUGGGAUGAGCACUGGGUGUUGUAUGGAAACCAAUUUGACAAUAAAUUUCACAUUAAAAAAAAGGAAGGGCUCCCCAAAAAAGAACUGGUAAGGAAGAGAGGAAAGCAGGACAGAGAAGGGAAAGAAAGCAAGCAAGGCUUUUUCCAUGGAGGACGGCUUUGGACCUGGUUCUGCAGGAGAACUCCGGAGGAUUCGUUAUGCUUAGAGUGGUCCCAGCUGGAAAAAAGCUGGAGCCUUUCUACAGCUGUGCCUGCUGGUCACUGAGCAGGGUCACUGGGAGAUGAGACAUGCUUUCCCAGACACUUCCUGCCCUCUGGAGCAACUGGCCAGGGAGAGUCACAGGUGCUGGCCCUUGGAGGUAAAAGCACAAGGACACUGGGGGAAAGGCACAUUGCAACAGGAAAAAGUAACUUUUCAUGGAGCAGGGAGAGGAUGAAAAAAAGUCACAGCUUUCCUUUCAA